GGGGAUAUAGCUCAGUUGGUAGAGCUCCGCUCUUGCAACAGCGGUUCGAGUCCGCUUAUCUCCA
rnacentral:tRNA from 3 species